CAGUCGCCGCGGGAAUACGUAGGUGGCGAGCGUUGUCCGGAAUUAUUGGGCGUAAAGGGAGCGCAGGCGGGCGAGUAAGUCUUUCUUAAAAGUGCGGGGCUCAACCCCGUGAGGGGAGAGAAACUACUCAUCUUGAGUGCAGGAGAGGAAAGCGGAAUUCCUAGUGUAGCGGUGAAAUGCGUAGAGAUGUGGAGGAACACCAGUGGCGAAGGCGACUCUCUGGUCUGUAACUGACGCUGAGGAGCGAAAGCGUGGGGAGCGAACAGGAUUAGAUACCCCCGUAGUCCCUGUCUCUUAUACC
rnacentral:rRNA from 1 species